rnacentral:tRNA from 1 species
GGGGAUAUAGCUCAGUGGUAGAGCAUUCGACUGCAUAUCUGGAGGUCCCUGGUUCGAACCCGGGUGUCCCCU